GGUAACGGAGAAUUAGGGUUCGAUUCCGGAGAGGGAGCCUGAAAAACGGCUACCACUUCCAAGGAAGGCAGCAGGCGCGCAAAUUACCCAAUCCUGAUUCAGGGAGGUAGUGACAAGAAAUAACAAUAGUUCGGCAAUAGUCAAACUAAUUGGAAUGAGUGCAAUUUAAACAUCUUGACGAGGAACAAUUGGAGGGCAAGUCUGGUGCCAGCAGCCGCGGUAAUACCAGCUCCAAUAGCGUAUACUAAAGUUGUUGCAGUUAAAAAGCUCGUAGUUGGAUUUCUGCGCUGAGAGGGAGGUGCGUGCACAUUUCCGUGUUUUGCAUUGACUUCUCGUGCAUCCUGCCACGAUCCACGCUACUAUUCAGUUAGUGGUGUUGGGGAAUGGCUCGUUUACUUUGAGAAAAAUAGAGUGUUCAAAGCAGGUAAUUAGCCUUGAAUAAGUUAGCAUGGAAUAAUGAUAAAGGACUUCGGUUCUAUUUGUUGGUGUUCGGGACUGAAGUAAUGAUUGAUAGGGACAGUUGGGGGCAUCAGUAUUCCCAAGCGAGAGGUGAAAUUCUAGGACCUUUGGAAGACUAACUGCUGCGAAAGCGUUUGCCAAGGAUGUUCCCUUUGAUCAAGAACGAAAGUUGGGGGAUCGAAGACGAUCAGAUACCGUCGUAGUCUCAUACUAUGAACUAUACCAGCUAGGGAUCGGCCGGCGUUAUAUAUAUAAGGGCCCGGUCGGCACCUUAUGAGAAAUCAAAGCAUUUGGGUUCCGGGGGGAGUAUGGUCGCAAGGCUGAAACUUAAAGGAAUUGACGGAAGGGCACCACCAGGUGUGGAGCCUGCGGCUCAAUUUGACUCAACACGGGAAAACUUACCAGGUCCAGACAUAGUAAGGAUUGACAGAUUGAGAGCUCUUUCUCGAUUCUAUGGGUGGUGGUGCAUGGCCGUUCUUAGUUGGUGGAGUGAUUUGUCUGGUUAAUUCCGUUAACGAACGAGACCCCAGCCUGCUAAAUAACGCUCAUUUGCUUUUGCAAGUGCUGAGCUUCUUAGAGGGACUAUGGAUUCGCAAUACAGACCAGGGAAGUUUGGGGCAAUAACAGGUCUGUGAUGCCCUUAGAUGUUCUGGGCCGCACGCGGGCUACACUGACGCAUGCAACGAGCAGAUCAGCUGGCCCGAGAGGGUCUUUGGCUAAUCUUUUGAACUUGCGUCGUGCUAGGGAUCGACUAUUGCAAUUGUUAGUCGUGCAACGAGGAAUACCUUGUAAACGCGAGUCAUCAACUCGCAUUGAAUACGUCCCUGCCCUUUGUACACACCGCCCGUCGCUCCUACCGAUGAAUGUUAAGAUGAAAUUUUCGGAGGGGUCCGAUGACCCAGGCCUAGCCUGGCGAUAUGGUAUCGCAAAGUUACUUGAAUCUGAACAUUUCGAGGAAGGAGAAGUCGUAACAAGGUUUCCGUAGGUGAACCUGCGGAAGGAUCAUUGACACUAAUCCAAAAAAACUUUAAACCUGUGUAUACCGACCCCCGAGUGCAGCUGUUAAUUCAUUCUGCCCGGGCUCGCACCCUUGGGCGAUUGGCCUCACGGCCGAUUACCCCUCCCUUAAAAAAAAAAAAAAAUUUUUGAUUUUUUUUUUGGUCGGCUCUCACGAGACGNUUUUUUUAUUAUGCUGCACUUUAUGUGCGUUACACCCCUCACCCACAUCGAUAAAUCUCUGAUGGAAGCCUCCGCUAGGAGGCGGCCAAGUAUUUCUUAAUCGUCUGAAAAGCGAUAAUACCUUUCAACGAUGGAUCUCUUGGUUCCCGCAACGAUGAAGAACGCCGCGAAACGCGAUAUGUAAUGUGAAUUGCAGGAUUAAGUGAAUCAUCAAAUCUUUGAACGCAAAUUGCGCUUGGGCCCUCGGGUUUGAGCAUACCUGGAUCAGACUCUUUUUUCAAAAGUACCAUGCUUUAUGGAUUAGACUCUGGGCGUUGCGCCUCCAAAGCGCAUCGCUUUAAAUCAGUCAUAAGGGCUUCAAGUGUCGGGUCAAUUGUCGUGUUGCGACUGUACCUGCGCGCCGAGGUAAUUCAGUUUAUUUUGCGUGUGGGGACGACUGCGGCCGGCCGACCUUUGUACCGCCUUACUCUAGCUAUUUUUACAGCUUGGAGCUGAUCUCAGGCAAGAGGACCCGCCGAAUUUAAACAUAUUACUAAGCGGAGGAAAAGAAACUAACAAGGAUUCCCUCAGUAACGGCGAGUGAAGCGGGACCAGCUCAAUUUGAAAAGCUCUGCGAUUUUAUCGCGGCGCAUUGUAUCCUUGCUAUGGACCUUUGUUUGGCUUCGGGUGCAAUUCGUUGUUGAGAUAGCGAGCCGGAGAGGGUAACAGCCCCG
rnacentral:rRNA from 1 species